AAGAGGAGAGGAGGAGAAAGAAAGGAAAAGAAAGAAAGAAGGGAAGAAGGAGAAGAAGAGAAGGGAAGAGGGAGAUGGUGCUGGAUUUUUUUGAGUUUCUCUAGCAAGAAAGAACACCAACAAGGAGAAAAGAAGGAUUUUGAUCUGGGGUAUAAGGAAUUUGAGAGAGAGAAAUGGAGAAGAAGGUGAAAAGUGGCAGAAGCAAGACUCUGCAGGGGGCAGCAGCUUUGCCUUCUGUUUAGAUAAGUUUGCUUCAUCUUUUAUUGUUGAGUUUUGAAUAUGUUGAAGGUCUAUAUAUGUAUAGAAGUUAUGGUUAAAAUUUGAUGAUUUUUCAAUGGUUAGAUUUGAGAAAUAAAUUGUUGAACACAGGCUAUUGUAAGUAGAACUCUGAAUUUUGGCUACUAAAAUUUGAGGAAAAUAAAUAGGAUGCUUAGAAAAUUAUGAAAUUGGUACAGGUGAUAUUUAGGAUGUUGAGGAUGUUGUGUUAAAAUUUAGCGAAUUUUAGACUUGUGGUUUAUGAGAUAUAAAUUAUUUUGUAUGAGUUAUCUAAUUAAGAAUGAUUUCUCAAAAAUUCAGAAUUUGAAGGGGAGGAUAAAUAUGUUGAUAUCUCAUGAUGCAAAGAUAAUUUGAUGCUAAAAUUUUUGCUGAUGAUGUAUAUGGAUGUCUUGAAUAUAUGGUUAAAAUUCAGGAUUUAUCUAAUAGUUGGAUCAUUAUAUAUAAAUUUAAAUAUGUAAGCUACUAGAUUGGAUAUUAAUGGUUGUGUUAAAUUGAAUAAGUGAUUUUGAUGGAACUAAAAUUAUUUUGAGAUAGGAUAUAGUAUUUAUUGAAUUUUUAUGUAAUUGUGGAAUAUUUUUGAGAAAGAAUUAUAUAUGUUUAGAUGGAUUUUUGGUGUUAUGGAUACAUUAUAGGACAUUUUUUUAUUGAGAUUUGAGUAGGAAGUAUUGGGAAUGAUAUUUAUAUGGAGAUAUGAGUUGGGAAUAUGGAUAUGUUGAUGUGAUUUUUGAAUGGUGGAUUUGAGUUUGUGAUAGGGAAUUGAGUUUAAUUUUAAGGGAAAAUGCUGUCGAAUUUUCAUUAAAUAUUUAAUAUGGAAAGUGAAACUUAUGGUUGAUUUUGAUUAUUAAAUUGUUACGGUUUAGGAGGAGCUUUUGGAUUAUGAUUUAUAUGGAUGGAAAAGUGAUAUAUGUGAGUUAGUAUCUUACAAUACAGUUUUGCAGGAGAUGUAAGAUGGAUGUUGAUAUUCAGUUUGAUGGUUUUAGAUGCUUCGAUUGGCUAGAAUCCACGGUCAUGGAAAGCAAAGGAAGGAUGAUUGUCAGUAGAGAUAAAGGUGUCACAUAAAACAUCAAUUAAGGUAAUUUUUGGACUUAAAGUGAUAUGUCCAGCACGUGUCACAUUUUGAAAGGACCCAUCAGGUAAAUGUGCAAGUUUUGGAUUUGAAAGAAGUAUGGUUUUGUCAAAAAAAAUUGAGGGUCAGAA